rnacentral:rRNA from 1 species
UACCGGAUGAUGUCGUAAGACCAAAGUAUUUAUCGGCAAAGGAUGACGCCCGCGUAGGAUUAGGUAGUUGGUGGGUAAAGGCCUACCAAGCCGACGAUCCUUAGCUGGUCUGAGAGGAUGAUCAGCCACACUGGGACUGAGACACGGCCCAGACUCCUACGGGAGGCAGCAGUGGGGAAUAUUGGACAAUGGGCGAAAGCCUGAUCCAGCAAUGCCGCGUGAGUGAUGAAGGCCUUCGGGUUGUAAAGCUCUUUUACCAGGGAUGAUAAUGACAGUACCUGGAGAAUAAGCUCCGGCUAACUCCGUG